AGUGAACGCUGGCGGUAGGCCUAACACAUGCAAGUCGAACGGCAGCACAGUAAGAGCUUGCUCUUACGGGUGGCGAGUGGCGGACGGGUGAGGAAUACAUCGGAAUCUACUUUUUCGUGGGGGAUAACGUAGGGAAACUUACUCUAAUACCGCAUACGACCUACGGUUGAAAGCAGGGGAUCUUCGGACCUUGCGCGAUUGAAUGAGCCGAUGUCGGAUUAGCUAGUUGGCGGGGUAAAGGCCCACCAAGGCGACGCUCCGUAGCUGGUCUGAGAGGAUGAUCAGCAACACUGGAACGGAGCCAGGGCCCAGACUCCUACGGGAGGAAGCAGUGGGGAAUAUUGGACAAUGGGCGCAAGCCUGAUCCAGCCAUACCGCGUGGGUGAAGAAGGCCUUCGGGUUGUAAAGCCCUUUUGUUGGGAAAGAAAAGCAGCAGGUUAAUACCCCGAUGUUCUGACGGUACCCAAAGAAUAAGCAACGGCUAACUUCGUG
rnacentral:rRNA from 1 species